rnacentral:rRNA from 1 species
AUUGAACGCUGGCGGCAUGCCUUACACAUGCAAGUCGAACGGCAGCACGGGUGCUUGCACCUGGUGGCGAGUGGCGAACGGGUGAGUAAUACAUCGGUACCUGUCCUGUAGUUGGGGAUAGCCCGCCGAAAGCCGGAUUAAUACCGCAUACGAUCUACGGCUGACAGCGGGGGACCUUCGGCCUUCGCGCUAUAGGGUUGGCCGAUGGCGGAUUAGCUCGUUGGUGGGGUAAAGGCCUACCCAGGCGACGAUCAGUAGCUGGUCUGAGAGGACGAUCAGCCACACGGGGACUGAGACACGGCCAAGACUCCUACGGGAGGCAGCAGUGGGGAAUGUUGGACAAUGGGCGAAAGCAUGAUCCAGCAAGGCCGCGUGUGUGAAGAAGGCCUUCGGGUUGUAAAGCACUUUUGUCCGGAAAGAAAUCCUUGGCCCUAAUACGGUCGGGGGAUGACGGUACCGGAAGAAUAAGCACCGGCUAACUACGUG